rnacentral:rRNA from 1 species
UUAUUGGAGAGUUUGAUCCUGGCUCAGGACGAACGCUGGCGGCGUGCCUAAUACAUGCAAGUCGAGCGAAUCACUGGGAGCUUGCUCCCGGUGGUUAGCGGCGGACGGGUGAGUAACACGUGGGCAACCUGCCUGUAAGACUGGGAUAACUUCGGGAAACCGGAGCUAAUACCGGAUAAUUUCUUCCCUCGCA